rnacentral:rRNA from 1 species
CCUACGGGAGGCAGCAGUGGGGAAUUUUGGACAAUGGGCGCAAGCCUGAUCCAGCCAUGCCGCGUGCGGGAAGAAGGCCUUCGGGUUGUAAACCGCUUUUGUCAGGGAAGAAACGCUCUGGGUUAAUACCUCGGGGUAAUGACGGUACCUGAAGAAUAAGCACCGGCUAACUACGUGCCAGCAGCCGCGGUAAUACGUAGGGUGCAAGCGUUAAUCGGAAUUACUGGGCGUAAAGCGUGCGCAGGCGGCUGUGCAAGACAGAUGUGAAAUCCCCGGGCUCAACCUGGGAACUGCAUUUGUGACUGCAUAGCUAGAGUACGGCAGAGGGGGAUGGAAUUCCGCGUGUAGCAGUGAAAUGCGUAGAUAUGCGGAGGAACACCGAUGGCGAAGGCAAUCCCCUGGGCCUGUACUGACGCUCAUGCACGAAAGCGUGGGGAGCAAACAGGAUUAGAUACCCUGGUAGUCCACGCCCUAAACGAUGUCAACUGGUUGUUGGGAGGGUUUCUUCUCAGUAACGUAGCUAACGCGUGAAGUUGACCGCCUGGGGAGUACGGCCGCAAGGUUGAAACGUCAAAGGAUUGACGG